rnacentral:rRNA from 1 species
GACGAACGCUGGCGGCGUGCUUAACACAUGCAAGUCGAGCGGUAAGGCCCUUUCGGGGGUACACGAGCGGCGAACGGGUGAGUAACACGUGGGUGACCUGCCCUCAGCUCUGGGAUAAGCCUGGGAAACCGGGUCUAAUACUGGAUAUGACUCCAUGACGCAUGUUGUGGGGUGGAAAGCCUUGUGCGGCUGAGGAUGGGCCCGCGGCCUAUCAGCUUGUUGGUGGGGUGAUGGCCUACCAAGGCGACGACGGGUAGCCGGCCUGAGAGGGCGACCGGCCACACUGGGACUGAGACACGGCCCAGACUCCUACGGGAGGCAGCAGUGGGGAAUCUUGCGCAAUGGGCGAAAGCCCGACGCAGCGACGCCGCGUGAGGGAUGACGG